GGGUUGUGAGGUUAAGCGACUAAGCGUACACGGUGGAUGCCCUGGCAGUCAGAGGCGAUGAAGGACGUGCUAAUCUGCGAUAAGCGUCGGUAAGGUGAUAUGAACCGUUAUAACCGGCGAUUUCCGAAUGGGGAAACCCAGUGUGWUUCGWCACACUAUCAUUAACUGAAUCCAUAGGUUAAUGAGGCGAACCGGGGGAACUGAAACAUCUAAGUACCCCGAGGAAAAGAAAUCAACCGAGAUUCCCCCAGUAGCGGCGAGCGAACGGGGAGCAGCCCAGAGCCUGAAUCAGUGUGUGUGUUAGUGGAAGCGUCUGGAAAGGCGCGCGAUACAGGGUGACAGCCCCGUACACAAAAAUGCACAUGCUGUGAGCUCGAUGAGUAGGGCGGGACACGUGGUAUCCUGUCUGAAUAUGGGGGGACCAUCCUCCAAGGCUAAAUACUCCUGACUGACCGAUAGUGAACCAGUACCGUGAGGGAAAGGCGAAAAGAACCCCGGCGAGGGGAGUGAAAAAGAACCUGAAACCGUGUACGUACAAGCAGUGGGAGCACGCUUAGGCGUGUGACUGCGUACCUUUUGUAUAAUGGGUCAGCGACUUAUAUUCUGUAGCAAGGUUAACCGAAUAGGGGAGCCGAAGGGAAACCGAGUCUUAACUGGGCGUUAAGUUGCAGGGUAUAGACCCGAAACCCGGUGAUCUAGCCAUGGGCAGGUUGAAGGUUGGGUAACACUAACUGGAGGACCGAACCGACUAAUGUUGAAAAAUUAGCGGAUGACUUGUGGCUGGGGGUGAAAGGCCAAUCAAACCGGGAGAUAGCUGGUUCUCCCCGAAAGCUAUUUAGGUAGCGCCUCGUGAAUUCAUCUCCGGGGGUAGAGCACUGUUUCGGCAAGGGGGUCAUCCCGACUUACCAACCCGAUGCAAACUGCGAAUACCGGAGAAUGUUAUCACGGGAGACACACGGCGGGUGCUAACGUCCGUCGUGAAGAGGGAAACAACCCAGACCGCCAGCUAAGGUCCCAAAGUCAUGGUUAAGUGGGAAACGAUGUGGGAAGGCCCAGACAGCCAGGAUGUUGGCUUAGAAGCAGCCAUCAUUUAAAGAAAGCGUAAUAGCUCACUGGUCGAGUCGGCCUGCGCGGAAGAUGUAACGGGGCUAAACCAUGCACCGAAGCUGCGGCAGCGACGCUUAUGCGUUGUUGGGUAGGGGAGCGUUCUGUAAGCCUGUGAAGGUGURCUGUGAGGYAUGCUGGAGGUAUCAGAAGUGCGAAUGCUGACAUAAGUAACGAUAAAGCGGGUGAAAAGCCCGCUCGCCGGAAGACCAAGGGUUCCUGUCCAACGUUAAUCGGGGCAGGGUGAGUCGACCCCUAAGGCGAGGCCGAAAGGCGUAGUCGAUGGGAAACAGGUUAAUAUUCCUGUACUUGGUGUUACUGCGAAGGGGGGACGGAGAAGGCUAUGUUGGCCGGGCGACGGUUGUCCCGGUUUAAGCGUGUAGGCUGGUUUUCCAGGCAAAUCCGGAAAAUCAAGGCUGAGGCGUGAUGACGAGGCACUACGGUGCUGAAGCAACAAAUGCCCUGCUUCCAGGAAAAGCCUCUAAGCAUCAGGUAACAUCAAAUCGUACCCCAAACCGACACAGGUGGUCAGGUAGAGAAUACCAAGGCGCUUGAGAGAACUCGGGUGAAGGAACUAGGCAAAAUGGUGCCGUAACUUCGGGAGAAGGCACGCUGAUAUGUAGGUGAAGUCCCUCGCGGAUGGAGCUGAAAUCAGUCGAAGAUACCAGCUGGCUGCAACUGUUUAUUAAAAACACAGCACUGUGCAAACACGAAAGUGGACGUAUACGGUGUGACGCCUGCCCGGUGCCGGAAGGUUAAUUGAUGGGGUCAGCGCAAGCGAAGCUCUUGAUCGAAGCCCCGGUAAACGGCGGCCGUAACUAUAACGGUCCUAAGGUAGCGAAAUUCCUUGUCGGGUAAGUUCCGACCUGCACGAAUGGCGUAAUGAUGGCCAGGCUGUCUCCACCCGAGACUCAGUGAAAUUGAACUCGCUGUGAAGAUGCAGUGUACCCGCGGCAAGACGGAAAGACCCCGUGAACCUUUACUAUAGCUUGACACUGAACAUUGAGCCUUGAUGUGUAGGAUAGGUGGGAGGCUUWGAAGUGUGGACGCCAGUCUGCAUGGAGCCGACCUUGAAAUACCACCCUUUAAUGUUUGAUGUUCUAACGUUGACCCGUAAUCCGGGUUGCGGACAGUGUCUGGUGGGUAGUUUGACUGGGGCGGUCUCCUCCUAAAGAGUAACGGAGGAGCACGAAGGUUGGCUAAUCCUGGUCGGACAUCAGGAGGUUAGUGCAAUGGCAUAAGCCAGCUUGACUGCGAGCGUGACGGCGCGAGCAGGUGCGAAAGCAGGUCAUAGUGAUCCGGUGGUUCUGAAUGGAAGGGCCAUCGCUCAACGGAUAAAAGGUACUCCGGGGAUAACAGGCUGAUACCGCCCAAGAGUUCAUAUCGACGGCGGUGUUUGGCACCUCGAUGUCGGCUCAUCACAUCCUGGGGCUGAAGUAGGUCCCAAGGGUAUGGCUGUUCGCCAUUUAAAGUGGUACGCGAGCUGGGUUUAGAACGUCGUGAGACAGUUCGGUCCCUAUCUGCCGUGGGCGCUGGAGAACUGAGGGGGGCUGCUCCUAGUACGAGAGGACCGGAGUGGACGCAUCACUGGUGUUCGGGUUGUCAUGCCAAUGGCACUGCCCGGUAGCUAAAUGCGGAAGAGAUAAGUGCUGAAAGCAUCUAAGCACGAAACUUGCCCCGAGAUGAGUUCUCCCUGACCCUUUAAGRGUCCUGAAGGAACGUUGAAGACGACGACGUUGAUAGGCCGGGUGUGUAAGCGCAGCGAUGCGUUGAGCUAACCGGUACUAAUGAACCGUGAG
rnacentral:rRNA from 1 species